GUCCUGUCGGGCGUCUUCACAAGUAACCUGCAUUCAGAGUUUCACGUCGGCCUGGCCGGCGUGGAUAGUCCCGUAUAUGGGGCCUUAGCUCAGCUGGGAGAGCACCUGCUUUGCAAGCAGGGGGUCGUCGGUUCGAUCCCGACAGGCUCCACCACACGUCGCGCCUUUAUCGGCGCGUUCGGCAAUGAGCUAAACGGACAUUGGGUCUGUAGCUCAGGGGGUUAAAGCGCACCCCUGAUAAGGGUGAGGUCGGUAGUUCAAGUCUACCCAAACCCACCACUCUGAAUGACUAGCGCAUACAAAAAAUUUAUUACGCAUCGGCAUUGUGGCCGGUACGUGUUCUUUUAAAACUUGUGACGUACCGAGCGUUUUGA
rnacentral:tRNA from 2 species